rnacentral:lncRNA from 1 species
UUUCAGCACAGCUGAAGCAGGAGGAAGAGACACGAAGCACUUUUUUUUUUUUUAAAGAAAGCCGACAAAAGCUUCACGAAGGUUCAUUUACCUCUUUCAAAACGACCUAAAAUAACCUAUAUUCUAUCAUUCUAAAUAUGUAAUGAAUAUUUAUGUGGAGCUUGAUCUGACAGUAUGUGCACGUUUGGAUGGCCUGCAUGAUCAGCAGCUAAUUUUCUUUUAAAAAGUAAUUUAUUUUCAUCCGAUGAUCACGUGAUCUAAAAGGGAGCUAAAAGUUUAUUGCUGAAUUUUCUGUCCGGUUCUGUUGCUCAUGGGGUGCUCUCAUUGGAUUUGAGGAGCUGCCUGGUGACGCAGCGCUAUAGCCAACUAGUGGCUUAGUUACCUUCGGAAAUACUCUUACAAGUACCCGUUUUAAAGAACCAGAAGGGUAGGAUAUGGUAUCUCACCCAGAUUUGAGCCGGUUGUGAGUUGUGGUCAGGUCGGGAUGACACCCGUCGUCUAAAAGAUGCUUCAUUUAAUGUAACGGGUCUGGUUGGACCCUCGAACCGGGGAGCCGAAUGUUCGGUUCGGAGUUUUCUGCACCUUUGAAUGAAUUCUGACACCUCCGACCCCUCCCAAUCGGCUCCUUUUCCUUUAGCUUUCAAACCGCGCCAAUUAAAGUGAUUCUCUCUCCCUUUGAUCUGCUUCCCUUCAUGCAGUGCGCGCACGCACACACGCGCUCCCUCAACAGCAGAGGUGUGCGCACUUUUUCUCUCUCCUCCUUCUCUUCUUCUGUUUCUCUCCCUCUUUGCGUCACUACAAUCCUCCCCCGUGUUCUGAGGAACAGCGGGCGUCACGUCGGGACGUUUUUUUGCUUUGUUUAUUUCGGAUUUUCCCCUGCUUUGUUUAUUCUUGCUUUGUUCUUCUGUCUCCUUCCUCUGAGGUGCUGCAGAGUCAGACGAGAGAUGGGAUGUGGACAUUCUUCGCCGGCUGCCAGCAGCAAAGACAGCAGCAGCGCUGCAGGUCCAGCUGAAACCUCAUCAAAGGUGUAA